UCUGGCUUAUAGCCAAGCGGUCCCGUUAGAGUUCCCAACUUAAUGAUGGUAACUAACGGCAAGGGUUGCGCUCGUUGCGGGACUUAACCCAACAUCUCACAACACGAGCUGACGACAGCCAUGCAGCACCUGUGUGUAGGUCCCGUAAGGGAAGGAAUCCAUCUCUGCGACCGGUCCUGGACAUGUCAAGGGCUGGUAAGGUUCUGCGCGUUGCGUCGAAUUAAACCACAUGCUCCACCGCUUGUGCGGGCCCCCGUCAAUUCCUUUGAGUUUUAAUCUUGCGACCGUACUCCCCAGGCGGAAUGCUUAAAGCGUUAGCUGCGCCACUGAAGGGUAAACCCACCAACGGCUAGCAUUCAUCGUUUACGGCGUGGACUAC
rnacentral:misc_RNA from 1 species